UCAAAUUAUUAAUAAAAUUCAGAUAUUUUUUUUCAAGCUUUCAAGAGUGAGUGAGUGGGUCUUCGACUGACUUGUUGUGCUAGGAAUUGGAAUCACUUAUCGAGGUAAGUCUCUUGGUGUCUUUUCAAUUCUAGUUCUUUGUUUUUUUUCCUAUAACCUUGAUUUUUCCUCAUUUGUUGAGUGCGAAACAAGUAGAGAGUGU
rnacentral:lncRNA from 1 species